rnacentral:rRNA from 1 species
UACGUUCCCGGGCCUUGUACACACCGCCCGUCAAGCCAUGAAGCUGGAAGUGCCUGAAGUGCGUAACCGCAAGGAGCGUCCUAGGGUAAGUCGGUAACUGGGGCU